UAUGGCCAUAUCACAUUGAGACAUCUGUUCUUGUCUGAUCAGCAAAGUUAAGCUAUGUCAAGCCUGGUCAGUACAUAGAUGGGUGACUGCUUGGGAAUAUCUGGUGCUGUAAG